rnacentral:lncRNA from 1 species
AAACGUAUUAACAAGUAAUAAAAAAUAAAAUAAAAUAAGUGGUUACAAACAGGUAACAGGUUACAUAGAGAAAACUAGUGGAUGAUGUGGCAAAUUUUAAUUGGAGUGUGUUAGAGGAGUGUGACCCUAGCAAAUUUAAUUGUCUUUUAAAUUUCAGGUAUGAGAUUUUUUAUUUUUAUUUUUUUUGUAAAUUUUGGUUUUAAAAAUUGAAAGAGAAAUAUCUGGUUUUAAUUUGUAUUUAGAAAAAAACUGGUUUUAAACCAAAUUUAAGAAAAUAACCAAAUUUAAACCAGUUUUAUAAAAAUAACCGGUUUGGUAAUCAUAACCAAAUUUAUAACCAGUUAUGUAACCAGUUUGUAGAAAAAUGUGGUUAUGGUUAUCAAUCUGAAUCCAUUUAAGUGGUUUUGGUUUGGAUACGG